GGUCCCGUGUGGCUGUUGGUAGAGCAUGGUGUUUGCAACGCCAGGGUUGUGGGUUCGAUUCCCACGGGGGACCA
rfam:Salmo salar isolate Sally breed double haploid chromosome ssa23, whole genome shotgun sequence.